AACGCACCUUGCGCUCCUUGGUAUUCCGAGGAGCACGCCUGUUCGAGUGUCGUGAAACUCUCAAGCUAGAUGCUUUAGUGUCAUCUGCUUGGUUAUUGGACUCUGCUGUCUCCUUGUCUGGAACGGCUGGUCUCAAAUGUAUUAGCUGGCUCUUGUUGUGGGAAUUGGUUCUACUCAGCGUGAUAAUCUAUGACCGCUGAGGACAUCUCUCGGGAUGGCCAAGCCUGCCUUGAACUGCUUCUAACUCAUCAUUUCAUGAUAUUUUUCAACUCUUGACCUCGAAUCAGGUAGGGACUACCCGCUGAACUUAA
rnacentral:misc_RNA from 1 species